UACGAGGGGUGCAAGCGUUGCUCGGAAUUAUUGGGCGUAAAGGGUAGGUAGGUGGUCUCAUUUGUCUGGGGUGAAAGCCUUGAGCUUAACUCAAGAAGUGCCCUAGAAACGGUGAGACUAGAGUCCUGGAGAGGGUCGUGGAAUUCCCGGUGUAGCGGUGAAAUGCGUAGAGAUCGGGAGGAACACCAGCGGCGAAGGCGGCGACCUGGACAGGUACUGACACUCAACUACGAAAGCGUGGGGAGCAAACAGG
rnacentral:rRNA from 1 species